rnacentral:rRNA from 1 species
UACGUAGGGUGCGAGCGUUGUCCGGAAUUAUUGGGCGUAAAGAGCUUGUAGGCGGUUUGUCGCGUCUGCUGUGGAAAUCCGGGGCUCAACCCCGGACUUGCAGUGGGUACGGGCAGACUGGAGUGUGGUAGGGGAGACGUGGAAUUCCUGGUGUAGCGGUGGAAUGCGCAGAUAUCAGGAGGAACACCGAUGGCGAAGGCAGGUCGUCUCGGGCCACUACUGACGCUGAGAAGCGAAAGCAUGGGGAGCGAACAGG